rnacentral:rRNA from 1 species
GACGAACGCUGGCGGCGUGCUUAACACAUGCAAGUCGAACGGUAAGGCCCUUCGGGGUACACGAGUGGCGAACGGGUGAGUAACACGUGGGUGAUCUGCGCUGCACUUCGGGAUAAGCCUGGGAAACUGGGUCUAAUCCCGGGUAGGACCACUGCCUGCCUGGGCGGUGGUGGAAAGCUUUUGCGGUGUGGGAUGGGCCCGCGGCCGAUCGGCUUGUUGGUGGGGUGAUGGCCUACCAAGGCGACGACGGGUAGCCGGGCUGUGAGGGUGACCGGCCACACGGGGACUAAGAUACGGCCCAGACUCCGACGGGAGGCAGCAGUGGGGAAUAUUGCACAAUGGGCGCAAGCCUGAUGCAGCGACGCCGCGUGAGGGAUGACGGCCUUCGGGUUGUAAACCUCUUUCAGCACCGACGAAGCGCAAGUGACGGUAGGUGCAGAAGAAGGACCGGCCAACUACGUGCCAGCCGCCGCCGUAA